rnacentral:rRNA from 1 species
UACGUAGGGGGCAAGCGUUGUCCGGAUUUAUUGGGCGUAAAGCGCGUGUAGGCGGCCAGACAGGUCCGUUGUGAAAACUCGAGGCUCAACCUCGAGAUGUCGAUGGAAACCGUCUGGCUAGAGUCCGGAAGAGGAGUGUGGAAUUCCUGGUGUAGCGGUGAAAUGCGCAGAUAUCAGGAAGAACACCUAUGGCGAAGGCAGCACUCUGGGACGGUACUGACGCUGAGACGCGAGAGCGUGGGGAGCGAACAGG